CUGGAGUCCAGCUCAGAGGAGGCAACCAGAGGCCCAAGCCAGAGAAAUGAUCCCUCCCCAGGAAAGGCAGGGAAGCAUGAUGAGCCAGGGACCCCUUCUAGAGGUUGAAUGGUCCAAGUGAGAAGCAGCUCCUGGCUACCCCUCUGAGUUUUCAAUGGACACAAUAUUUACCUUAGGGAUGGCAAAUUAUCAGCCUUCAGAUCACCACAUCCUAUCUAGAGCCCAUGGCAGACAUUGCUAAUCAAUCAUAGCACAGUGGUCUUAGACACUUCCUCCACGCAGUGCACUGGGCAGCCAUCACCAAUUGAUCAGGUGAACCCAAUUUGCCAUCCGGGUAGAGCAGAUAUCUGUGCUGUCCCCGACCUGGCGUGUCCAGUCCGGCCCUGACCUUUGGCCCCCUUGCAAAGUCCUACCAACUAAGCCUCAGGCCCAUUAGCCAGGGCCUGCGUGAGGGCUCGAGGUCUGGCGCCGAGGAUGUGACGGUGAGCCGAGUUCUUGGAGCUCUUGCGCGUGCUGACCACGUUGCAGCUGUUGGGCUCGCACCCCGCUCCACGCUGGUGGAAGAGGCCACGGACGGUGGUCUGGAAGCUGCUGGUGACGAAGCAGUAGACGAUGGGGUCCAUGCAGCUGUUGAGGCUGCUGAGGGUCACUGCCACAUGAUAGACCACGAGGCUGGUGUGGUGUGGCACGUCGGGCCACAGCGCCACAGCCACCUGGCGGGCGUGGAAGGGCGUGAAGCAGACGAGGAAGAUGACGAGCACGGUGAGCAACAGCUGCAUGGCCCGCAUGCGGCGCUGGCGGCCCUGGCGCAGCAGGCCCGGCCGUGACAGCGCACACAUGAUGCGGCCGGUGAAUAUGCUAAUGACCAGCAGUGGCAGCAGGAACUCCAGGACGGUCAGUGCAAAGACGCGGCAGCAGGGCCCGCCGGUGGCCGUCACGCCCAGCACGGACAGGGUCACGGCGCCGGCGGCCAGCCACACAAAGGCGCACACGGCUCUGGCGCAGGCAGGCUGGCGCCAGCGGCGGCCACCAUCGGGCUGCACGAUGGCCAGGUAGCGGUCCACGCAGAUGCAGGUGAGGAAGAGGAUGGAGCAGUGCAUGUUGAGGAAGUAGCCAAAGACGUGCGGGAGGGCGCAGCGCAGGCAGCCGCGGGUGCCGUAGAAGACAGCAAAGCGCGUGGGCAGGGACAGGCCCACCAGCAGGUCAGUCACCACCAGGUUGAUGGUGUAGAUGACCGAUGGCGUCUUGGCCUGGGUGCGGCAGCCGAAGACGUACAGCGCCAGCCCGUUGAGCACCAGCCCCACCAGGAAGAUGACGCCAUGCACUGCCAUCAGUGCCAGCCACAGGCCUGGGAAGGCGGCGUGCAGCUCCCCGUCCAGCACAGCAAACAGGUGGAACAGGGGCAUCUCCGGCAUGCUGACAUUAGUCCACGCUGCCGCUGCCGCUGUGGCAUUGGGGGCAGCCAUGGCCGAGGGCCCUGCGGAAGACGCGGAGGGCAUGACAGCGGCCAGCGCACGCCCGGGGCCUGGAAGGAAGGAGACCGGGUUACCCUGGGGUUAUUGGAGCCCUGCCCCGAGGCUGGACCUCACUUGGCUCGUCUGCCCACCCAGCACCCCAACAUUCCCACCUUUGUGCCUUUGCCUGGCCUGGCCCUGGCACUUGCCAGUGUGGAGCUUCAGCAGAAUGCCAGUGCUGUGAGCCUGCUCCUUGCUGUAAUGGGAGGUGAAAAGCCUCGCAAGACUGUCACCGGGACUGAAAGAUGACAAAGGCGACUGGUGUGGCACAGGAGAAAGGAGAAGGCUUUGGGGAGAAGCAGGGAGGAGCGGAGGGCACAUGGGACAUCCCAGGCAGCGUGGACCCCCGCAGUCCCCCAGGAAGGAGAGGGAUGUCUCCCAACGCGUCCCUGCUCUACUGUGGAAAACACGAUGCCUCGGCAAACCCCCAGGAGGAAGGGCCCAGGGAGACAGGAGCUGGCCCCAGACACACGCAAACAGGUUUUUGAAUUUCCUUUCGCGCGCCUUUCGGUUUUCCAAUGUGUCUGCAUGAGGUCUGCAUCCAUGUGACAAUCAGAGACAAAUAAUAAACACCACAGAAGGUUUCCUCUGGCAUUCAGUCCCACCCCAGGGACAGCCUCACAUGCUGGCCAGCACCUCGCUGAAGGUGCCGGCGGUGUGGGCCAGGGCUGCACGCCUGGAGCUCCAGAGCGGGGGUAUGCACGGGACACCCCAGAGGCCGGGCAGGUGAGGACGGAGGACGUCAGCCAAGCACACCAUGAUUCUCAGCUCCGAGAGUCUGAGCCUGAUCUGGUCCCCGCCCUGGGCGCCGACGCCGCUCACACACUGAGGUCAGUCCCGGAACAUGACAAACCUUGGCAUCUGUCACGCCGGCCGAGCUCAGAUCACAGCCACAGCCCGGGCCCUCCCAUCCCCCCGCUUUCUACACCACCAUCUCUUCCCCUUUGCUCUCUGCUGAGUCUGGCUGUCUCUGUCUGUAUGAUAAG